UCCAUUAUCAAAACUCAUAUCUAUUUCCUCAUCCAUCAUUUAUUCUUGAAUCUUCCAAGCUUGUGAAUUCUUAUUUACAUCUACAUCAAAUUCCUCCUACAAGUGAUAAUCAACAUCACCAUUUCAAGCAUCUAAAAAUUGAAAUUGAGAUGGUAAGGUAUGGUGCAUGGGCUGAAUUUUUACAAGAAAAAGGGGGAAGAAAGACUUUUGUUUCUAGUUGUUCAAUUCCAUUCUAGUAAAAUUACUCCAUCAAGGUUGAUUGCAAAUACGUUGUUUUAUGGUCAUCUUGCAAUUGUGGUCGCAAAUAAGGUUGUCCCGGAUGCGGAAGAAAGUUAAGUAAUGUAAAGAUUGAAGUUAAAGAUGCUUAAUGGAUAUAGGUUGCUUUGGUUAAAUGCGGAUAAUGGUAUUGGUAAUAGAACCCAUAGUGACCCCUUCGAACUAUCGGCUCAUUGUACUCUUGUUAUGUCUUUUUGGAAAUGUAUUAUGAUGUCCAGUGUUAGACUCGAGUUUUGGGUAUUUUCAAUGGGUCGUUUUGUAGUUGUAAUGUAUUGAUUUUGUUUAAAAGUGUUUUGGA